rnacentral:sRNA from 1 species
AGAACCCGAAAUACGACCACCUAAACGUCGAACAGCUUAUGGCUCAGAUUUCUUGUUUUUCUUUUAAUUAAUCAAAGAUUUCCGCUACUACUUCUUUUCAUUAUCCAAGGUAUAAAAGUCUCGUGAGCUGCUACGCUGACAGGUCAAAGGAUCCUGACGAGAGGCCAAGGAAGCUUUGAUCACAGGGAAAAGAAUUGAAAUUGAAUUGGUUGAUUUAAAAAAAAAGGAGAAUGCCUCCAAAAAGAACUUGAAAGAUGUGGAGAAUGAAUACGGAUAAGGGCAAGAAAUGCCUACCCCUGGACCCAGGGGUGAACCAGGUCAAAUGAACGAUAUCUAAACCUUGAUGAGAAUGAUGAUGGAACAUGUGGAAAGACAGGACAUAAUGACGGAAGAACUCAUACAAAAACUGGAUGGUCGUCCGGUGGGCCGUCUCCCUUGGGUCCUCUGCUGUGGUCAGUAUGAGGGAGCGUGAUCGACUUGAAUUACCUUCCAAGAUAGGGGAGAUACAAUAUAUAUUGGAGAGUGAUGUGCUGCAGCAGUCUGAUAAGCAAUAUUCUGCAAAUGACCUAUCGGCAACAUUCAACCAAAAAAGCAUCAAUGGAGAGUCAGUCCUUUUAGCAAAGGCAUCAAAUACAGUGAGGGCA